rnacentral:rRNA from 1 species
GACGGGGGAUGCAAGUGUUAUCCGGAAUCACUGGGCGUAAAGCGUCUGCAGGUGGUUUCCUAAAUCCACUGUUAAACCUUGAGGCUCAACCUCAAAUCUGCAUUGGAAACUAGGAGACUUGAGUAUAGUAGGGGUAGAGGGAAUUUCCAGUGGAGCGGUGAAAUGCGUAGAUAUUGGAAAGAACACCGAUGGCGAAGGCACUCUACUGGGCUAUUACUGACACUCAGAGACGAAAGCUAGGGGAGCAAAUGGG